rnacentral:rRNA from 1 species
AACGAACGCUGGCGGCGUGCUUAAUACAUGCAAGUCGAACGAUAACGCCACCUUCGGGUGGUUAUUAAAGUGGCGAACGGGUGAGGAAUACGUGGAUAAUCUUCCCCUAUACCUGGGAUAAUCCUUCGAAAGGAGGUCUAAUACCGGAUAAUACUUUUUGGUGGCAUCACCAGAUAGUCAAAGGCGGGGUAACCUGCCGUUUAGGGAUGAGUCCGCGCCCCAUUAGCUUGUUGGUAGGGUAACGGCCUACCAAGGCUCCGAUGGGUAGCCGGCCUGAGAGGGCGACCGGCCACACUGGGACUGAGAUACGGCCCAGACUCCUACGGGAGGCAGCAGUAAGGAAUAUUGCGCAAUGGACGAAAGUCUGACGCAGCAACGCCGCGUGGGUGAUGAAGCAUCUUGGUGUGUAAAACCCUUUCAGUGGGGAAGAACCGUGCGAUGAGUAACUGCGUUGCACCUGACGGUACCCACAGAAGAAGUCCCGGCUAACUCCGUGCCAGCAGCCGCGGUAAUACGGGGGGGACGAGCGUUGUUCGGAUUUACUGGGCGUAAAGGGCGCGUAGGCGGACCUUCAAGUCGGAAGUGAAAACCGUUGGCUUAACCAGCGGCCUGCUUUCGAUACUGUCGGUCUUGAGUUCAGGAGAGGAAAGCGGAAUUCCAGGUGUAGCGGUGAAAUGCGUAGAUAUCUGGAAGAACACCGGUAGCGAAGGCGGCUUUCUGGCCUGCCACUGACGCUAAAGCGCGAAGGCUAGGGUAGCAAACAGGAUUAGAUACCCUGGUAGUCCUAGCAGUAAACGAUGGGUACUAGGUGUCGGGGGUAUCGACCCCCUCGGUGCCGCAGCUAACGCAUUAAGUACCCCGCCUGGGGAGUACGAUCGCAAGAUUGAAACUCAAAGGAAUUGACGG